rnacentral:rRNA from 1 species
UACGUAGGGUGCGAGCGUUGUCCGGAAUUACUGGGCGUAAAGAGCUCGUAGGCGGUUUGUCGCGUCGGGAGUGAAAACCUACAGCUUAACUGUGGGCUUGCUUUCGAUACGGGCAGACUUGAGGCAUGCAGGGGGAGAACGGAAUUCCUGGUGUAGCGGUGAAAUGCGCAGAUAUCAGGAGGAACACCGGUGGCGAAGGCGGUUCUCUGGGCAUGUUCUGACGCUGAGGAGCGAAAGUGUGGGGAGCGAACAGG